AGCGCAGGUGGUUUAUUAAGUCUGGUGUAAAAGGCAGUGACUCAACCAUUGUAUGCAUUGGAAACUGGUAGACUUGAGUGCAGGAGAGGAGAGUGGAAUUCCAUGUGUAGCGGUGAAAUGCGUAGAUAUAUGGAGGAACACCGGUGGCGAAAGCGGCUCUCUGGCCUGUAACUGACACUGAGGCUCGAAAGGCGUGGGAGCAAACA
rnacentral:rRNA from 1 species